CGUCGUCAUCCGAAGACACAUUAGUUUUCGCACUCUAACUUUAGUUUAAGUGAAUGGAUCUCUAUGAAAUUUAACCAUAAGGUUCAAUACACACAAAAGGAAGGUGGGGAUUGAUUUUGGGGGUUAUGGUACCAACUGUUAAGGAAUUAGGGGCCAAAAAUAAGCAUUUUUGUAACUUCCAGACAUUACUUGUGUGUAAGUGUAUGGAUCUCUCUGACAUUGUACCACAAGGUUCCAUAUCACAAAGGGAAUGCUGGGAUUGAUUUUGGGGGUAAUUGCCUCCAAAUUUUAGGAAUUAGGGGCCAAAAAGGGGAAAAAAACAAGCAUUUUUCUAGUUUCAUGACAAUAACUUGUGUGUAAGUGUAUGGAUCUUUAUUAAAUUGUACUACAAGGUUCCAUAUCACAAAGGGAAAGCUGGAAUUGAGUUUGGGGGUAAUUACCAAAAAAGUUUAGGAAUAAGGGGCAAAAAAGGGGCCAAAAAUAAGCAUUUUUCUAAUUUCCAGACAAUUACUUGUGUUCAAGUGUAUGGAUCUCUCUAAAAUUGUACUGUAAGGUACCAUACCACAAAGGGAAGGCUGGGAUUGAUUUUGGGGUUAAUUCCCUCAAAAUUUUAGGAAUUAGGGGC